ACACACACACACACACACACACACACACACACGAGCUACCGGGCGGUAAACAGCAACUUUGUUUCCCUGAGAGAGGAAAAAGGAAAACAGAAGCAGCGUGCUGUCAUCCACAACAGAGCCAGAGCCAGAACCAGGACCAGGACCCGGGCCAGAGAGAGAGAGAGGCCCACUUCUGGGGUCAGUUUUGGAGCCUUUGUUUUGAUUGCGAAGUCUGCGUAAAGUUGUCAUUGUGGACUCUGCUGGACUUGUUUCAUAGUCAGCAGAAAACCCCCUGAACGUAACACUGACCGAGUUCACAUUUACAGAGAGUGCAUCGAAACAGUUUUAUCCCCCCCCCCCAGAAGUGACCUGAACUAUCGCAGCUUUCUCCAAACACACCCGGAGGGGGGACGCGUAAAAGAAGUACUCACGGUUUCACGGAUGGACUUCUCUGAUCCGGGUCAUGACUUGUGUUUAAUGUCGGCCCGGUUUUCCUCAAAAUGGCAGAGUGUAAAUCCUGGGAGUUUGAACAGCACAGCGCUGCUUCCCCUCCCGAGCUCUCUCUCUCUCUCUCACACACACACACACACACACACACACACACACACACACUGAAAACACACACUGACAACACAGACUGUCCCACUACGGGACAUUGCAGGAAUGAGCCGUGCUGCAUUCACGACGGUAGGAAAAGUCGGGAUCGAGAGACUAGCGCGUAAAGAAGACAUGAGCAAACUUGAAUUGUUGUCCUUUUAGUUUCUUUAGCCUGCAGGAGACUGAAAGCUUCCUGUAAUCCUUUGUUGUCUUUGUUAUCAGUAUCAUUUUACUAAAACAAAUGUAAUUCAGAAUGAAUUGACAAAGUAUUUUUUAAACAGGCUGUUGUCUUUUCUGUUUUGAAAUAAUAAUAAGCUGUGUGCUGUGAAAUGGUGAAAUUGUACGGAAGAGUAUUAGAGCCUGACAUGAAGAAUAAACCUUAAUAGAAGAAGGAUUUGGUUUCCAUUGUGCACUUCAUGAAAAAAACUUGAAAUGUUGAGAAUUGAAAGUUGCAGUGUCAGGGAUAAAGUUGAAAUACAGUUUCGAGAAGUAUGUCACAAUAUUUGGGGUCGAAAUGUAGAGAACAAAUCAAAAAUAUAAUUAUGAGAAAACAUUUAAAAUGUUGACAAUUAAGUUGAAACACAAUUUUGUUAAUGUUUUGAUUUUAUAUAUAUUUGAAAUUAUAUUUAAACUUUAUUCUCCACAUUUACACUUUUUUUCUAGAAGUGAAUGAUGUAAAAUAAAUCGCCCUCCUCUCAGUUGUCUCACGCCUGGCCCUGAUCCUCUUCAGUAGAAAAUGAGACCUUUUGGGGUACUUUUUAAAGGUCUCAGUCUCGUCUCGUAAUUGAAAGCAUUUCAACUCGGUCUUGUCCCGGUCUCAGACUGGGCAGACUCCAGAUUUUAAAUCCAGACUGUACAUGAACACCACUGAUAAGCCAGUUUUCCACGUCAUCACUGCGAUAAGAAAGAAAAACGCCCCUAAAACAACAAAUAACUUUAAUCCAUUUGUAGUUUUGUUUACACCCCUGGUUACAGCUGCAACCUUCCCGGUGUUCAGGUCGUAAUCAGAGACACAAAAUAAUUUAUAAUUGAUAUGUAUGGUCUUGGUCUUGGUUAGUGUGGUCUUGACUACAGCACUACUUCAGGGGUAAAAACAUAAUUUUAAAAAAGUCUCAAGGAUUUCAUUUAGACCCCUGGUACCUCUUAAAGUCUGUAGACAAAGAGUAAAAUUCCCUCAUCUCUGUAAACACACCUCCUGAAGGUAAAUAAUUCAGAAUACAGAUUUAAUGUUUCUAAAAAUGCCUAACACACGAAUUCUUCAAUUCAAUAUGCCUCGUGUUUAGAGCUUUAAUCAUGUUUUACUUGAAGCUUUAAAAAGUUGUGUAUCAUAAAACUCGUCACCAAGAUGUAGCUAUAAACUUUAAGUGGAUGCAGCAUGUCCAUAUAUGGUCGUGAUGUAUUUUAGCUAUGGAUGGACCUUAUAGAGGGGAUCAUGCUCAGGAAGACUAAGUACCUUUUAUUCUUUUAUUAUUAUUUAUAUUUGAAUAAAUCAAGAGUUCAAACUUGUCCUGGCUUCAUUUUGUCACACAUGGUAAGUGUAAAAAAAAAAAAAGCAGGAUAUUUUUUUUGCAGCUUGCUUUCCCACCAUCUUUCAUGACAUCUCUUUAACGCUGAUAACAAUUUCCGCUGAUCCUUCAUGACUUGAAAAACUGAAAACCACCGAUAUUUGGUUCCUAUUUGUUUCAGUGUAUCCGUCAACACACACAAACACAAGAGGCGGAUGUGGCCUCUUUUAAAAUCUUUGACCUCUGGGUGUCUCGAGGAGGACAUGAAAGCAUCAUGAAUUCAGCUCUGAUGACACAACAUGCUUUUCCUUCCAAAACAAAGUGACGCCAUCAAACAGUCCUCUUCCAAAGCGCUCAUAUGUCCGAGUCCAUGGUGUGGCCUUUUGUCCCCGGUGACUCAGGCUCCCAGAGAAGGCAGCACGAGAAGUGAGCUCAUCGAGGCUUAAGGAUCAUUAUGAAGCAGGUUACAUCGUGAGGAUACAAGGAUUAUUCUUUUUUUAAAUCAAUUUAUGGGGCAAAUCUUUGUGUUCAAAGGUUUUGCUGGCAGGUUUUAAACUGGCAAACAAAAGACGUCUGAAUGAACUGCUGCAAACCACUGCUGGGCUUUUUUUCCCACUCAUGUCACAACAAGCCGAAGACGAGGUUCGUCUUGACUGUAAACUUUACCUGCACUCUGCUGAGACUCCUGAAUCAGUCAAACGCUGGAUAUAUGAAAAAAAAAAAACCUGCAGAAAAUCAAACUCCCAGAUUUGUGUAAAAUAAAGAUUUCACCUCUGAA